rnacentral:rRNA from 1 species
UACAGAGGGUGCGAGCGUUAAUCGGAAUUACUGGGCGUAAAGCGUGCGUAGACGGCUAUCUAAGUCGGGUGUGAAAGCCCCGGGCUCAACCUGGGAAUUGCAUUCGAGACUGAAUAGCUAGGGUACGGUAGAGGGAAGUGGAAUUUCCGGUGUAGCGGUGAAAUGCGUAGAUAUCGGGAAGAACAUCGGUGGCGAAAGCGCUCUACUGGACGGUAUCUGACACUGAGGGACGAAAGCUAGGGGAGCGAAUGGG